rnacentral:rRNA from 1 species
ACGCUGGCGGCGUGCUUAACACAUGCAAGUCGAACGGGGUGUUAUUUCGGUAAACACCAAGUGGCGAACGGGUGAGUAACGCGUAAGCAAUCUACCUUCAAGAUGGGGACAACACUUCGAAAAGGGGUGCUAAUACCGAAUGAAUGUAAGAGUAUCGCAUGAGACACUUACUAAAGGAGGCCUCUGAAAAUGCUUCCGCUUGAAGAUGAGCUUGCGUCUGAUUAGCUAGUUGGUGAGGGUAAAGGCCCACCAAGGCGACGAUCAGUAGCCGGUCUGAGAGGACGACCAGCCACACUGGGACUGAGACACGGCCCAGACUCCUACGGGAGGCAGCAGUGGGGAAUAUUGCACAAUGGGGGAAACCCUGAUGCAGCGACGCCGCGUGGAGGAAGAAGGUCUUCGGAUUGUAAACUCCUGUUGUUGAGGAAGAUAAUGACGGUACUCAACAAGGAAGUGACGGCUAACUACGUG